AAUUCUCCACAUUUAAAACUACCAAAUCUAUUUUUAAUUCCCUACUAACUAUCUCUAUUAUACAGUUUUUAUAGAUAAAAUCAGAAAGUAAUACCUCCUUGCUUGGUGUGGAUAUCAUCAAGAUAUGCCCCAAAUAAACAGGUGUAACACCCUAUCGUUUUGCAAAAAUUUGUGACACGAAUGAGUGUGUGGAACUAAGAUCUAGUAAUACCUUAGCUACGUUCUUUGAGACAAGAUACAUACCUUGAACCACAUCUAGGUUUGCUUCAGCAUCUACUAUAGUAAGUGUGUACACUCGUCCCCGUCAUUGAGCUUCUAGUUGUUCCUUCAUAAGUGGGUAGGUAUGGAUCAGAUGUUAUUGGCUACCACACUUAAAAUAGGAUCGAGUGACACGAUGACACAACUGAUUACCAUGAUUUUUUCCACAAGUGCGGCAACUCGGUGCCCUACCAGCAGUUGAUGGUGGUCUAGGAGAUACCUUUGUUAUCAUUCUGGGUCUCUUAUCUUGUGAACUAAAUCGUGGAAUUUGUCUUCUCAGAGGUACCAGGGGUUUAAAACUACCUGUUUUGGAGAAUAAACCCCUCAAUCUACUUUCUACUAUUUCUGCUUUUGCCAAAACCU
rnacentral:lncRNA from 1 species